UAAGAAGCAAAUCAUGGCCCCUUUCCCAAUGCACAGGUUGAGUCUCUCAACAUUCUCAAUAGGAAGAAGAACCCCCACGCUACCUCCUUUCAUUCCCAUCACUGGCCAGAAGUAAACCAUUUCAUCUUGGCAAUAAAUAUUGACCGAGCACCAACCGUCUACAAGGCACUGCUCUGUGCCCUUGGCAUGCGAGGGUGAUCAAUACAUUCUACUGGAGACAGACGGGCAAAAAUCAAAAAGUGAAAAAUAUAGUUCCUAUGCCCAUGCCUCAAAAAUCUCACAACUUAAAAACAAGUCCUGAAGGAAGAUAGGAGCCAGGUGUCUGGAAGCAACACGAAUGCCUUCCCUGAGACAUCUAUAUCCGAGCACCAAUCUCUAACACUCCAAGAGAACACCAGGCUACUAAGUGGACUGAGAAUACUCCAUGAGAAACAGCAACCUGUGGUCAGAGUGAGGGGCCCACCCCUGGGAUGUCUACUGCCAUCAUGUAUGCCAGAGCCCAGGGAGUGUGAUCCAGAAGCCAAGACAGUAAAGAAUGGUCAGCUUGACAACCAACAGCUACACCCCCCAGUACCAGGAAAGCACUAUCUCAGCAUCCAACAUACCAAAGACAGUCCACGUGAGGCUAUAUUUGUGGCAAUACCGUGCCAAAAAUCUGGGCUAAUCUGACUCUGCUAUUCAUAAAUUCCCCCCUCAUGUUAAAGCACAUGUGUUUGGGAAGGGAAAAUGAAUCCAAGUCUAGUUUAGAAGCUUGGAAACGCUUAGGUUACUUGGAAACCAUCUGGAGUUCCUGAAAGCAUGAGAAGCCAUCACAUCCCCUGCCCUCAAAUGCCCACUGUAACUAGGGCAGUAUGCUUCCCUCAUGUCCUCUAUUCUCCAGGGAAGUCCCCACCCCCACCCUACCAGGUGCCAGCUCAAGCUCCAUUUCCCACCCAAGAAAGGUAUUUGGUUUCUCAACAAACCUGGCCGAGAGCACUCUAUGUGUGGAGCCUGCACUUGAAUUGCACCCAAGGCUUGGUUCUUCCCUUUCUGCUUACUUUAAACUGCACACCUAAAUUCCUUUAACAACCACACAGAAAUCCGGCCCUGGGCACACAGAUUCCAUGAAAAAUCCCCCUCUAUCUAACAAGCCUGUGUUUCAAGAAUGUCUAGCUUUGGACGGGACCCACUAAGAAUCCUUAUGUAACCUUAAUAGAUCUUGGCACCCCACAGAUCCGCUCCUGGAGACACUGGCCCAGAUCUAGUCCAUGUUCACCAAGAUGAGAGCAGUCUGGGUCCUGCAGAUUCCUGGGGCCAAGCUGUUCUGGACUGGGAGGGAGGAGAGACUGUCCCAUCCCCUACCUGGCUGAGAGCCUCUGAUCCUCCUCUCUCUGAUCCUCCUCUCAUCUUCCAAGGGAGUUGAACCUCACUUUCGCAGCCUCCCUCCCUCCCUCCACUGAAAUCAGUCUUGGGACCGAGCCUACAUCAGCCAGCACCUUCCCCCUUCUCGCCAUCCUUUCCCCACCCCCAAACGCUGAGGAAAAAACAGCCAGGAAAGUGAUCCAGCAUCCCAUACAGUCACAGCCCCUGAAAACAAACAGGGCUCCAGUGGGGAAGGAGGGUGUCGACCAGGCCCAACACUACCUCAGGACCCUAAGCAGCCCUGAACUGGGCGCAGGGAGGAAGAGAUCUCCAGAGGCAGCCAACGACUCGGCAGCCAGCAGCUCCAGCAGAGCAAACACCUGUUUCCAGGAAGAAUCGCUACCAGAGGAAAAGGGAGUCCCGAGGAAAGGCAGAGAGGGCGAGGUGAAGGGGCAGCUGGGGACGCAGGUGUUUUAACAAUAGGAAGCGUGAAGAGAGCAAGAAAGCUGACAAAAUGGGCAGACUGUCACAGAACAACGCUCCGUGAAGCGGGUGGACUCAAGACGGUUUCUAGGGAACGCUGAUCUAGAGAGGCUUCCGAUUCCUUCCAUCCGGUCCUCUCAAAGUUUUAAGGAGCAGAAGAUCCCACUGCCAUUCAAAGAGUUUCCAGAUACUGAAAGAAAAUGAAAACCACCCUGAUGUUAGCAGUGCACAGCAUCCCUGCAGACAGCAUCCCUGCUGCUAACCUUCACCCCACUCUGUUCCAAUGUUUGGGGGAAACCCAGAACCCCCAAAUCAU
rnacentral:lncRNA from 1 species